rnacentral:rRNA from 1 species
AGUGAACGCUGGCGGCAGGCCUAACACAUGCGAGUCGAACGGCAGCACAGUAAGAGCUUGCUCUUACGGGUGGCGAGUGGCGGACGGGUGAGGAAUACAUCGGAAUCUACUUUUUCGUGGGGGAUAACGUAGGGAAACUUACGCUAAUACCGCAUACGACCUACGGGUGAAAGCAGGGGAUCUCCGGACCUUGCGCGAUUGAAUGAGCCGAUGUCGGAUUAGCUAGUUGGCGGGGUAAAGGCCCACCAAGGCGACGAUCCGUAGCUGGUCUGAGAGGAUGAUCAGCCACACUGGAACUGAGACACGGUCCAGACUCCUACGGGAGGCAGCAGUGGGGAAUAUUGGACAAUGGGCGCAAGCCUGAUCCAGCCAUACCGCGUGGGUGAAGAAGGCCUUCGGGUUGUAAAGCCCUUUUGUUGGGAAAGAAAAGCAGCAGGUUAAUACCCCGCUGUUCUGACGGUACCCAAAGAAUAAGCACCGGCUAACUUCGUG